AGAGCUUGUUGAAUAAAUUCAUGGGCUUCUAACCCAAAAAUGUAAGGUGAAACUCCUUACCAGCUCUA
rnacentral:tRNA from 1 species